rnacentral:rRNA from 1 species
GACGAACGCUGGCGGCGUGCUUUACACAUGCAAGUCGAACGGAAAGGCCCUGCUUUUGUGGGGUGCUCGAGUGGCGAACGGGUGAGUAACACGUGAGUAACCUGCCCUUGACUUUGGGAUAACUUCAGGAAACUGGGGCUAAUACCGGAUAGGAGCUCCUGCUGCAUGGUGGGGGUUGGAAAGUUUCGGCGGUUGGGGAUGGACUCGCGGCUUAUCAGCUUGUUGGUGGGGUAGUGGCUUACCAAGGCUUUGACGGGUAGCCGGCCUGAGAGGGUGACCGGCCACAUUGGGACUGAGAUACGGCCCAGACUCCUACGGGAGGCAGCAGUGGGGAAUAUUGCACAAUGGGCGGAAGCCUGAUGCAGCAACGCCGCGUGCGGGAUGACGGCCUUCGGGUUGUAAACCGCUUUCGCCUGUGACGAAGCGUGAGUGACGGUAAUGGGUAAAGAAGCACCGGCUAACUACGUG